rnacentral:tRNA from 1 species
GUCUCAGUAGCAUAGUGGUUGGUGCACAGCUCCGGAUAAGUUGAGACGCGGGUUCGAUUCCCCCUGAGAUG